UUUGGGAUAAGCAUCUUUCCAGGGAAUGCCACAUUAUGAGUUCAUAUGUGGGACAUUAUUGCUUUGAAUUGCAGGGGGAUUUUGAAGAGGCUGAUGAGAAAUUCCGGUCAAGGCCAAGGGGUGGCCGUAAGAGGAAGUACCCCACUACAGAAAUGCUCGUACCAAUUGGGCCAGGAGUCUGAGUAACUCUCCUGGUUGCUCUCACAAGAAGCUGAAGACGAGAAUUGAGCCAUGCCCUUGAAAUUGAGGUAACGAAGAUGAAUUCGCUCAGGCUGCUUUUCGUGGAUAUAAGUCUCUGAACUGUAUUCAGAGCUGCAUAUUUCAUACUGUUUAUUGCACUAAUGAAAAUAUACUAGUUUGUGCUCCAACAGGAGCUGGCCAAACAAACAUAGCUAUGAUUUCUUUUCUACAUGAGAUUGGACAGCACUUCAAAGACGGUUACUUGCAUAAAGAUGAAUUUUAGAUAGAUUAUAUUGCGCCAAUGAAGGUAUCCACCCUACAUAACUCUUUUCCUUUUUUUUUAUUUUCUGAGUUUUUGGGGGAGUAAGCAUUGAAAUAGUGGCUUGUUACUUAUUAUCAUGUAUUUUUCAGGCAUUAGCUGCAGAAGUUACAUAAACUUUUAGCCAUCGCGUAUCUCCAUUGAAUAUGACUGUGAGAGAACUUACUGGAGACAUGCAGCUUUCUAAGAACGAACUUGAAGAAACUCAGGUCACUUUUAUCAAUUAUGAGUUCUCCGUGUGCUUUUAACUGUUACCCAAAAGAGGAAAAUGAAAACCUUAACAGCUUCACUUUCUUCUUAUUCAGAUGAUAGUCAUUGAUUGAUUAUUUUUUCAUAGAAAGUGAUUAAAUGCUUUUAGAUUUUGACAUUAUGGGUCCACUGUGUUUCCUAUUAUGGUUAUAGAAUUCUUUGGUUUCUGUUUUUUCAGUUGUUUUUGUUUUUUUUUAUCUCAUUUGAAGUCUCUAGUACUCAGAAGUCUGAAUGACAUUUGCUCAGUGAUGCUAUUCAUAUGGGUUACUUGCAAUUUCUGAGAUCCUGCUUAUGUUGAAUUGUUCAUUUGAUGCUUCUCUGCAAUUUUUUUCCUGUAUUGGUCCAAAAACGAAGUCUUAAUAUGUUAAUCAACUUCUAUAUUCUGGUUAAAAAGAAUUCUUGAAUAUGUAGUCUUUUGCACAUCAGCUUGCCAUUAGUAUGAGCUCUGCAGUCAAAAACUAACUCAUUUUAUUGUGACUGAUCUUUUCACUUAACUUGACAAGUUUUGAUAAGAGCUUGUUCAGUAUGUGACAGUAAAUAUCAUGUCUUUUGUACACAAGUUUUUUCUUAAACCGUUGUUCAAACUAGUAGGAAUUGUUACAGAAAAAGUUGUCUGCUCAAGUUUUCAUUUUGAUCAAUUUCAUAGACACAUUACAGAGGUAUCAAAUGUCAAUGUUUAGCCGUAGGGUUCCCUUUGGUUGUGGUUUUUUUGGGUUUUGUUUUUGACUGGUUGAGCAUUACAGAGGUAUCUCUCUCUUCAUCCACAUCUCUCUCUCUCUCUCUCUCUCUCUCUCUCUCUCUCUCUCUCUCUCUAAGUUAUAUAUAGCCAGUUUUAUCGUUUCUUCAUAUCUGUGUGGCCAUAGUUUGGAUUUUCCUGGUAUUGUCAAGCAUAUGGCUAAUGAACCAUAUUGAAGGUCAUUGUAAGUUGUUCUACUGUUAUGAAAAAUCAAGCUUUGAAUAGAGUUGUCAUGAGCUUCUCUAAAUUGGGUUCUAUGUAGAUUAUGUUUUAUGAAGAGUUGUUAGAUUUGACAGAGUCUAAGAAGGAAACAUGACAGUGCAUACCUUACAGCCUGUAUUGAAUUGCAGAAUGAGAUAUGCUACAAGAAGGUUUUUGAAUUACUCAGGCAAUGGUAUUCGUUCAUUCUCGAAAGGACACAACAAAAACAGCUCAGAAAUUGGUAUACCCUUACAUUCCAUUCCAUCUUACUUUUGUGGGUUUCUAUUUGGUUGAAAUUAUUUUUUGAAGUGUUAAUGAUAAAUUAGUCAUGCUGACUUCAUAAAUGAGGAAGCUUCAGUUGGUUGCUGAUGCAAUUGCAUCAGCUGGACCCGUACGAUUCCUUGCAAGUUUUGAUAU